GAUGAACGCUGGCGGCGUGCUUAACACAUGCGAGUCGAACGAUGAAGCUGGAGCUUGCUCUGGUGGAUUAGUGGCGAACGGGUGAGUAACACGUGAGCAACCUGCCCCUGACUCUGGGAUAACGGCCGGAAACGGCUGCUAAUACCGGAUAUGCACCAUGAACGCAUGUUCUGUGGUGGGAAAGAUUUUUCGGUUGGGGAUGGGCUCGCGGCCUAUCAGCUUGUUGGUGAGGUAGUGGCUCACCAAGGCGUCGACGGGUAGCCGGCCUGGGAGGGUGACCGGGCACACGGGGACUGCGACAGGGCCCAGACGGGAAGGGGAGGAAGCAGUGGGGAAUAUGGCACAAUGGGGGGAAGCCUGAUGCAGCGACGUCGGGUGAGGGAAGCCGGGUUUCGGGUUGUAAACCUAUGUUAGCAGGGAAGAAGAGAGAGUGACGGUACCUGCAGAAAAAGCGCCGGCUAACUACGUG
rnacentral:rRNA from 1 species